AACGAACGCUGGCGGCAGGCCUAACACAUGCAAGUCGAACGCAUCCUUCGGGGUGAGUGGCGCACGGGUGAGUAACACGUGGGAAUGUGCCCUUUGGUUCGGAAUAACGUCUGGAAACGGACGCUAAUACCGGAUGUCCCCUGUGGGGGAAAGAUUUAUCGCCAAAGGAGCAGCCCGCGUCUGAUUAGGUAGUUGGUGGGGUAACGGCCUACCAAGCCGACGAUCAGUAGCUGGUCUGAGAGGAUGAUCAGCCACACUGGGACUGAGACACGGCCCAGACUCCUACGGGAGGCAGCAGUGGGGAAUAUUGGACAAUGGGCGCAAGCCUGAUCCAGCCAUGCCGCGUGAGUGAUGAAGGCCUUCGGGUUGUAAAGCUCUUUCGCACGUGACGAUGAUGACGGUAACGUGAGAAGAAGCCCCGGCUAACUUCGUGCCAGCCGCCGCAGUAA
rnacentral:rRNA from 1 species